rnacentral:rRNA from 1 species
UACGGAGGGUGCGAGCGUUGUCCGGAAUCAUUGGGCGUAAAGGGCUCGUAGGCGGUUUGUCGCGUCGGGAGUGAAAUCCACUGGCUUAACUGGUGGCUUGCUUUCGAUACGGGCAGACUGGAGGUAUGCAGGGGAGAACGGAAUUCCUGGUGUAGCGGUGAAAUGCGCAGAUAUCAGGAGGAACACCGGUGGCGAAGGCGGUUCUCUGGGCAUGUCCUGACGCUGAGGAGCGAAAGUGCGGGGAGCGAACAGG